rnacentral:rRNA from 1 species
ACUGGAACUGAGAACGGUCCAGACUCCUACGGGAGGCAGCAGUAGGGAAUUUUCCACAAUGGACGAAAGUCUGAUGGAGCAACGCCGCGUGCAGGAUGAAGGCCCUCGGGUCGUAAACUGCUUUUAUAUGUGACGAUUAUGACGGUAGCAUGUGAAUAAGGAUCGGCUAACUCCGUGCCAGCAGCCGCGGUCAUACGGAGGAUCCAAGCGUUAUCCGGAAUUACUGGGCGUAAAGAGUUGCGUAGGUGGCAUUGUAAGUGAAUAGUGAAAGCGUUCGGCUCAACCGAAUAAACAUUAUUUAAACUGCAAAGCUAGAGGAUGAGAGAGGUUAUUGGAAUUCCUAGUGUAGGAGUGAAAUCCGUAGAUAUUAGGAGGAACACCGAUGGCGUAGGCAGAUAACUGGCUCAUUCCUGACACUAAGGCACGAAAGCGUGGGUAGCAAACGGGAUUAGAUACCCCGGUAGUCCACGCCGUAAACGAUGGAUGCUAGCUGUUAUCGGUAUCGACCCCGGUAGUAGCGAAGCUAACGCGUUAAGCAUCCCGCCUGUGGAGUACGGUCGCAAGACUAAAACAUAAAGGAAUUGACGGGGACCCGCACAAGCGGUGGAGCGUGUUGUUUAAUUCGAUGGUAAGCGAAGAACCUUACCCAGGUUUGACAUCCUUGGAAUUUCUGCGAAAGCAGAGAGUGCUUUAUUGAGCCAAGUGACAGGUGUUGCAUGGCCGUCGUCAGCUCGUGUCGUGAGAUGUUUGGUUAAGUCCAUCAACGAGCGCAACCCUUGUGAGUAGUUGAAUUUUUCUACUCAGACUGCCCUGGCAACAGGGAGGAAGGAGGGGAUGAUGUCAGGUCAGUAUUACCCUUAUAUCUGGGGCCACAAACACGCUACAAUGGCCGGUACAAAGGGCAGCCAAGUCGCAAGACGGAGCAAAUCCCAUCAAAGCCAGUCUCAGUUCGGAUAGCAGGCUGAAACUCGCCUGCUUGAAGUCGGAAUCGCUAGUAACGGUAGGUCAGCUAUACUACCGUGAAUACGUUCCCGGGUCUUGUACACACCGCCCGUCAAACCAUGAAAGUCGCCAAUACCUGACGUGCCAGCUUGCCUGGCCCUAAGGUAGGGGAGAUGAUUGGGGUU